AAGACUCACUUGAAACCAAAGUAUUUCCAGAAGAUAGAUCUGAAGGCAUACCAAUGAGAGAAAAAGUAUCUAGAGGUAGGAAAGUAGCAGAUGCUUUCCAAGCCGUUGGUAGAGCUGACGGAGAAGGAAGAAGUCCAUCCUUUGAUGAUGCACUGCCAUAGUUGUGAGGUUGAGAACUAAAGGAAGCGAUGAACUGUUUCAUAUGUUUUGGGGUAAGAGAAGAUGAUCUUGAAGAUGUUAUGACAUCUAG
rnacentral:lncRNA from 1 species